ACAGAGAAAUACAAUUUGUAAAGUAGUAAUAUACUCCAGGUGAUUAAAACUCACACAUAGCUAAAGUAAUUUAACAAUUGAACAUCUUUUCCCAGCAGACACUAAUUCAAAACAAUCUAUCUUUGUUUGUAGGAUAUGACUGAAUCCUCAGCAGCAGAUAGAAUUAACUGGUCCAUUAUAUGAACACAAAGGCUGUUAGAAUGUGCAUGCCUGGGAGUACCUGGAAUAACACAGGUAAAAUCAGGAGUGUUCUGAGAAAGCAGGAUGGAAAGAUGAGGAUUUGAGACUGUCUUGCCUACUACCUGGCAGGCCAACAGGAUGGAACGAGGAAAGUCUCUGGCAGAAGGCUGCAGCUCAACUGCUGAAGGUUUUACUGGUGGUGAACUAGGAAAGUAUAUCUGUGGAAAGCAAUGUUGUUAAAGAAAUUGCCACAGCCACCUUCACCUUCAACAACCACUGCCCUGAUGAGUCAGCAGUCAUCAACAUGGAGGUGAGAGCUUCAACCAGGAAAAAGAUUGACUCACUGAAAGCUCCAAUGAUGGUUCACAUUUUUUAGCAAUAAAACAUUUUUAAAUUAAGGUAUGUACAUUGUUUUUUUUUUUAGACAUAAUACUGUUGCACACUUAAUAGACUAUAAUAUAGUGUAAAGAUAACUUUUGUACAUACUGGGAAAUGAAAAAAAUUAUUUGACUCACUUUAUUGCAGUAUUUGCUUUAUUGCUGUGGUCUGGAACAAAA